AACGCGAAGAACCUUACCGGGGCUUGACAUCCUGCGACACUCUAGGAAACUAGAUUUCCGGGCAACCGGACGCAGAGACAGGUGCUGCAUGGCUGUCGUCAGCUCGUGCCGUGAGGUGUUGGGUUAAGUCCCGCAACGAGCGCAACCCUUGUCGUGUGUUGGUCCUUCGGAUCUCUCACGCGAGACCGCCGGUGACAAGCCGGAGGAAGGUGGGGAUGACGUCAAGUCAGCAUGGCCCUUACGUCCCGGGCCACACACGUGCUACAAUGCGGAAGACAACGAGCUGCGAGCCCGCGAGGGUAAGCCAAUCUCAUAAACUUUCGCUCAGUUCGGAUUGAAGGCUGCAACUCGCCUUCAUGAAGUCGGAAUCGCUAGUAAACGCAGAUCAGCUACGCUGCGUUGAAUACGUUCCCGGGCCUUGUA
rnacentral:rRNA from 1 species